GAUGAACGCUGGCGGCGUGCCUAAUACAUGCAAGUCGAGCGAACAGACGAGGAGCUUGCUCCUCUUACGUUAGCGGCGGACGGGUGAGUAACACGUGGAUAACCUACCUAUAAGACUGGGAUAACUUCGGGAAACCGGAGCUAAUACCGGAUAAUAUAUUGAACCGCAUGGUUCAAUAGUGAAAGACGGUUUUGCUGUCACUUAUAGAUGGAUCCGCGCCGCAUUAGCUAGUUGGUAAGGUAACGGCUUACUAAGGCGACGAUGCGUAGCCGACCUGAGAGGGUGAUCGGCCACACUGGAACUGAGACACGGUCCAGACUCCUACGGGAGGCAGCAGUAGGGAAUCUUCCGCAAUGGGCGAAAGCCUGACGGAGCAACGCCGCGUGAGUGAUGAAGGUCUUCGGAUCGUAAAACUCUGUUAUUAGGGAAGAACAAAUGUGUAAGUAACUAUGCACGUCUUGACGGUACCUAAUCAGAAAGCCACGGCUAACUACGUG
rnacentral:rRNA from 1 species